rnacentral:rRNA from 1 species
CAGCCGCCACGGUAAUACAGAGGGUGCGAGCGUUAAUCGGAUUUACUGGGCGUAAAGCGUGCGUAGGCGGCUUCUUAAGUCGGAUGUGAAAUCCCUGAGCUUAACUUAGGAAUUGCAUUCGAUACUGGGAAGCUAGAGUAUGGGAGAGGAUGGUAGAAUUCCAGGUGUAGCGGUGAAAUGCGUAGAGAUCUGGAGGAAUACCGAUGGCGAAGGCAGCCAUCUGGCCUAAUACUGACGCUGAGGUACGAAAGCAUGGGGAGCAAACAGGAUUAGAUACCCCUGUAGUUCCUGUCUCUUAUAC